UACGAAGGGGGCUAGCGUUGCUCGGAAUUACUGGGCGUAAAGCGCACGUAGGCGGCUUUCUAAGUCGGGGGUGAAAUCCCGGAGCUCAACUCCGGAACUGCCUUCGAUACUGGGAAGCUCGAGUCCGGGAGAGGUGAGUGGAACUGCGAGUGUAGAGGUGAAAUUCGUAGAUAUUCGCAAGAACACCAGUGGCGAAGGCGGCUCACUGGCCCGGUACUGACGCUGAGGUGCGAAAGCGUGGGGAGCAAACAGG
rnacentral:rRNA from 1 species